rnacentral:rRNA from 1 species
CCUACGGGGUGCAGCAGUGAGGAAUAUUGGUCAAUGGGCGCGAGCCUGAACCAGCCAAGUCGCGUGAGGGAAGACGGUCCUAUGGAUUGUAAACCUCUUUUGUCGGGGAGCAAAAGACGCCACGCGUGGCGUUCCGAGAGUACCCGAAGAAAAAGCAUCGGCUAACUCCGUGCCAGCAGCCGCGGUAAUACGGUGGAUGCGAGCGUGAUCCGGUUUGAUUGGGUUUAAAGGGUGCGCAGGCGGAUGAUCAAGGCAGCGGUAAUAUUUAGAGGCUCAACCUCUUCGCGCCGUUGAAACUGGUUUUCUUGAGUGUGCGCGACGUCUGCGGAAUGCGUGGUGUAGCGGU